rnacentral:rRNA from 1 species
GAUGAACGCUGGCGGCGUGCUUAACACAUGCAAGUCGAGCGAGAAGUUUUGAACAGAUUCUUCUGAUGGAAUUUAAAAUGGAAAGCGGCGGACGGGUGAGUAACGCGUAGGCAACCUGCCCCAUACAAAGGGAUAGCAUUUGGAAACGAAUAUUAAUACCUUAUGAAACUUAACUAGUGCAUGCUAGGUAGGUCAAAGAUUUAUCGGUAUGGGAUGGGCCUGCGUCUGAUUAGCUAGUUGGUGAGGUAACGGCUCACCAAGGCGACGAUCAGUAGCCGACCUGAGAGGGUGAACGGCCACAUUGGAACUGAGGCACGGUCCAAACUCCUACGGGAGGCAGCAGUGGGGAAUAUUGCACAAUGGGGGAAACCCUGAUGCAGCAACGCCGCGUGAACGAUGAAGGCCUUUGGGUCGUAAAGUUCUGUUCUAGGUGAUGAAAGCUGACAGUAACCUAGGAGAAAGCCCCGGCUAACUCCGU